GCGCAGCAGUCGCGAAAACUUCGCAAUACACGAAAGUGUGACGAGGCCAUCCCGAGUGCCAUCCGCUGAGGAUGGCUUUUCCCCAGUGUAGAUAGCUGGGGGAAUAAGGAGAGGGCAAGUCUGGUGUCAGCCGCCGCGGUAAUACCAGCUCUUCGAGUGGUGGGGACGCUUAUUGGGCCUAAAGCAUCCGUAGCUGGCCAAACAAGUUCCCUGUUAAAUCCAACGAUUCAAUCGUUGGACUGCGGGAGAUACUGUUGAGCUAGGAGGCGGGAGAGGCCGACGGUAGUCCCGGAGUAGGGGUGAAAUCUUAUAAUUCCGGGAGGACCACCAGUGGCGAAGGCUGUCGGCUAGAACGCGCUCGACGGUGAGGGACGAAAGCUGGGGGAGCGAACCGGAUUAGAUACCCGGGUAGUCC
rnacentral:rRNA from 1 species